rnacentral:lncRNA from 1 species
AUGUUUUUGUAAAAUAUUUCUUUAUAAAAUUGACCAUUGUUCCAUUACAUCCACAAUUGGCUACAUAUAGGUUCUCCAAAUAUUCUCUGCCAGUUGGCCUAACAAACUACAUAACUAAUUACUCAAUUAAAACAUUAAGUAAACCCUUUACUGUGAUUAAGAUAAUCACAGGUAUAAUAGAGAGACGAACCUUGAGUUUUCUAGCAAAUUGUGAAGUCUGAAGAGAACCCAGAUCCAACAAUUGUGAAGUUUGAAGAGAACCCAUAAUUCGAAUACUGAAAUCUUGAGUUUUCUAGCAGAUUUUCCAUCAAUGAUUUCAGUAACCCAAAAUCAAUUUAAAAAUGUAAAUAGAUUUAAAUUUGAAAUUGGUCGUAAUAAUUGAAAACAGGAUCAAAGCUUCAAAUUACUUGCCUUAUGUAGAUUGGGGACCCAGCAGCUGUGGCGCCCAUGUUGGUGGUGCGACACAGAGUUUGAGAAGUUGCGAACUAAUCUUUUGGAUUUAGAUGGGAGAGAGUGGAAUGAAGUAGAAGAGUCGA